rnacentral:lncRNA from 1 species
AAACAUUAUUAAAACUUUGAUCUGUGUGCGUGUUUAUGGGAAGAGUGCUGAACAGAAAUUGACUUUUAACGAAGACAGAGGAGCAGAUUUUAGGAUCUUGGUGGUAUUGUUUUGUUAGGAAUUCAAGAAAUAGAAAAAUUGCGCAUGAGCUUGCUUCAUUCAACUAGAAAGGAAAAGUCCCAAAUGUAAAAGCAAAUGCGAAAGGGGAAAAAAAAAUAAAAACACAACUGUGUAAUGAUAAAUUAAAGUGGCAGGUAACUAUCUAGUGUAACUUUAUUUCUGUUUUUAAACUUUGGGGGGAAAAAAAGGGGGGGAAAAAGGUUGAGAGUCGGAUACUUGGAUACUGGCUGGAGCUGGACAAGAGUCAAGACUCCUCUUUAGCCUUGGCUUUGCCCUUGCACUCACAAUCCCACAUCCAUCAAUUUGAAAUGACACCCAUCUCUCUCUCCCCACUCCGCAUCUCGAGCCUUUUUAUACGCUGGAAAAUACAAAGUUUAAUUACCUCUAACGUGGCUGGCAUUGGCAAAUGGCAACGACACAGUACAAAUAAAUAAUCAUAUACACACGUAUUGCUGAAAGAGGCAAUUGAAAGGGAAAAGAGCAAAACUUACUUUUAUGGACUGACAGAGAGAGAGGGGUUGAUGCAGAAACCAGAACUGCACAGGAAAAUCAAAUUAGUCAUCGGAAAAUGAGGGAAAAAGCUUAUAUGUAGGCGACGCCCAUUAUGUAGUCCCUCUCAAAAGAAAUGAUACUAUUACUAUGUAAAUAAUUAACAAUAAUAAAGGAAAGAAUAAUAAUAGGUUUCGUGUAAGCUUUUGCUUUUCAUAUCUUUGGACGCUGUAAAAUGAAAUCCUUCUGUUGCAGCUCCUGCUUUUCACAUUUUUGGCACUUGCAGGUUUCCGAAGCUUUUCCAGAUGCUGCCGCUGCACUGCAUGCAGGAACCUUUUGUUUGUUGCUUUAGUUGUCAUCAUCUUUUAGAUAAAAAACCGUUCAGUGGAGCAAGGGUUGAUUACACAAUAAAUUAACCUAAGUUAAUUACACAUGUUUAAUUGAAAUUAACUAAUACAUAAGCCAUAAAAAUACAAGACUUUGAGAUUUGAUUAUUUUGGCAUUAAUUAGUGAAAAAGAGAUCAUGACAACGACAAUGUUAAAGAAAACGACUCUUGUGGAAAACAAUCCUGCCGUUGGGCGUUGAUAUUUAAUGCCGGCAUUGCUUAAACGAUUGGGAAAAUGUGUGUUUAAUUUGCUAAAUAGAUAUUUAUGCAAAUGGCAGAAUUUUAAUUUUAAUUUUAUUUAUUUAUUCUUGUUAAAAGGUAGGAGAGUGAGACAAAACAUCAUAUCCAUUUUUAGACCCUGUUCCGGUAUUCCUUUAGGAUUUGAAUUUAUAGUAUUUAAUAAACAUUACUCGGCCAAACAUUGAGAAUUGCCAAUGACACAAAUUGUUUACAGGGGUGGUGAAAUUUUAAUUCGCAUUUCUUUAGGCCUCGACUUAAAUUUCUUUUGGUAACAUCAACAUUAUGGAUUAUGGAAUUCUAUAUAAUCUCCCGCAGUCCAAUCUAUGCAACUACUCGCAGACAAAAUAAAAUAUCCGAAAGAAUUCAAGAGCCUAAAGGUAAUGUCUUGAAGAGGUCACGUUCACCAUCAAACUAUUUCAAUAGAUGGAGCCAAUUGAUCACGGAAGAUUUCGUUUUGAGUGGUAAAUUAUUGAGACAGUCCAUAAAUAAUACGUCGGUGUCUUAUAGAGUUCUUUUCUCUGCUCGAUUAUAUAAGAUUAUUAUUAAUAUUUGAGAAUUGAAAGAAAAUUGAAAUUGACUCUCAUAAUAUUUUUAUAGAGACUCGAACCAUUUUUUAUAAAUACUCGAACCCUUAUUCUCACUAUUAUAAAUGCAAAGACUCUCCUACUAGAUCAAAAACCCAUUGAUAAUUGAAAUUCGCUUAUUGAUUGAUGAUUCUUUCUUUUGCUGAAUUGUUAUAGUUAAGGAAAUUUUAAGGACGGGUACACAUAAAUUUUGAAGACUUGUUUGCUUAUCUUUUUGGGUCAAGCUUUAGCUAUAUAUAAUGAACUGAAGCGCAAAUUUCAUAUAGUCCAUAGAUUCGAAUAAGGGGACACUUUCCUAUUCUAUUUGUUUAUCAUUUGAAUUGAAAUUUUAAAAAGGUAUUUUGACUCGUCCACAGGCAAUGAAUUUUGGACCUACUGUACCAACCAAAAAUGCAAAUAAUAUAUACACCCAUCUUUUGCUGCGUACUGUGUACAUUAACUUCUAGGGACUUUCAAAAUAUAGGGCAUUGAUUCAGUAUCAUUGUCCAAAUAGAAAACCAAUAUUAUAAUACA